AGGGUAGAAGAGAAACAAGACAUAACUGUGAGAGAGAGGCCUACAUUGCCAGCAGAGGAUCAGGAAACAAGCAUGUCCUGAAUCAAAGCAAGAACACAUAGACCUAAAGAACGACCCAGAACGAUGUAUUACCCAUUGUGAAAUGACCUUCCUGGUGUUAAGACCACACGACCAUCCUCAGUUCCAUCCAACCAAGGAAACCAGCCUUUCCAUCUUUGCCCAAAA